rnacentral:rRNA from 1 species
UACGUAGGGUGCGAGCGUUAAUCGGAAUUACUGGGCGUAAAGCGUGCGCAGGCGGUUAUGUAAGACAGAUGUGAAAUCCCCGGGCUCAACCUGGGAACUGCAUUUGUGACUGCAUGGCUAGAGUACGGUAGAGGGGGAUGGAAUUCCGCGUGUAGCAGUGAAAUGCGUAGAUAUGCGGAGGAACACCGAUGGCGAAGGCAAUCCCCUGGACCUGUACUGACGCUCAUGCACGAAAGCGUGGGGAGCAAACAGGAUUAGAUACCCCUAGUAGUCC